GGCGGCAGACCACGCAGGCAGCCUGUAAGCCACAGCGGACGCAGGGGGCCGCAGCGGGUGCUCAGCCCUAGGGCCGAGCGGGAGAUGUGCGGCGAGUGCGGAAGGGCGGACCCGGGAUGUCCCGGGUUUUCGAGCGGGCAGCCGCCUGCUGAAUGCCCUUCUGCUGCCCUCCGUUCCCGCGGCUCCCCUAGGAGCCCAGCCCCGCCCAACUCUUACCCGGGCUCAUCGCCGCGGCUCAUCUCUCUCGCAACCGCCGCCGCCGCACGCACCCGCUCCGCCGCCCCGCGCAGGGCAUCCUGUCGCCAGUCCUCUCGUUUCAGCGCAUCCCUCAGAGGAGUUUCAGCAUUUGGGGAUUUGAACGGCCCAUGACCAAUAUUGUGAAAGGACUUUUGUUUGCUGCAAUGAAAAGAAGACUCCUAUUUUCCAAUAAUGAAUUAACCUAAACAUGUAUUAAAAUAUGCUCAUGAAA